GUCGUGACUGCGUGCCUUUUGAAGAAUGAGCCUGCGAGUUUGCGGUGUGUUGCGAGGUUAACCCGUGUGGGGAAGCCGUAGCGAAAGCGAGUCCGAAUAGGGCGUUUUAGUAGCGCGCUCAAGACCCGAAGCGGAGUGAUCUAGCCAUGGGCAGGUUGAAGCGGAGGUAAGACUUCGUGGAGGACCGAACCCACCAGGGUUGAAAACCUGGGGGAUGACCUGUGGUUAGGGGUGAAAGGCCAAUCAAACUCCGUGAUAGCUGGUUCUCCCCGAAAUGCAUUUAGGUGCAGCGUCGUGUGUUUCUUGCCGGAGGUAGAGCACUGGAUAGGCGAUGGGCCCUACCGGGUUACUGACCUUAGCCAAACUCCGAAUGCCGGUAAGUGAGAGCGCGGCAGUGAGACUGUGGGGGAUAAGCUCCAUGGUCGAGAGGGAAACAGCCCAGAGCAUCGACUAAGGCCCCUAAGCGUACGCUAAGUGGGAAAGGAUGUGGAGUCGCACAGACAACCAGGAGGUUGGCUUAGAAGCAGCCACCCUUGAAAGAGUGCGUAAUAGCUCACUGGUCUAGUGAUUCCGCGCCGACAAUGUAGCGGGGCUCAAGCGUACCGCCGAAGUCGUGUCAUU
rnacentral:ncRNA from 1 species